rnacentral:misc_RNA from 1 species
UUGAUUAUCCUAAAGCCCACUCAGACAACACCUAAAAGAGCGUGGUGGUCCUCUGGCGGGCAUGCACCCGCCAAGGCAACAACAGUAUAGUAGACAGUGGGUGGGAGAUACUGCCCCCUGGGGGGCCUUCUCUGUAAUGAUCCUUCCGCAGGUUCACCUACGGAAA